GGCGACAUAGCUCAGUUGGGAGAGCGCACGACUGAAGAAUCUACUACGAUUAGUCAUUCGUGCGGUCCCUGGUUCGAUCCCGGGUGGCGCCA